CCCUGCUGGCAUUAACUCCCAGAAUAUUUGGGGGGUGGAGGAGUGGCACUGAGAAGAGUGUGGGUCCAAGGAAUGAGCCCUGAGCAGGUGGUCCGUAGAGUAUCCCGCGACUACACGGAUUCGCUUUUGCGUCCAGCGAUUGUCGGCCAAAUGCUCUUCACCGCGGCUCCCUCCUGUGCAGCCUGGACUUCUUUGCCAUGUGGCCUUCCCUUUGACCACCCCGCUUCGUUUGGGUGGGGCGCACCCCUCCAGAGGCGUCUCCCCACUCGUGGUCGAGCUCUCAGGGGUACCCAGGAGGGCGAGUGGACUUUUUGGGAACAGGGCUGCUACUUCAUCCCGCUUGCUAGCUAUGCUUGUGCAUUCCUAUAUAGACAUCGGAGUCCGGGGGCUUUCUGAGCGGCCCCCUCCUUGGGGACAGUGUUCCCCUGUCAGAGUCAUUUUCCAGAGGUUUAACUCGGCGACUCUGCAGGCUGUGUCUGCCCGUCUCUGUCUUCUGUCUCCUCCGCCAUCAUCUCCUGCUCAGACCUCUUCGAGGAGCUUUGCAAGAAUCCGAGCAAAUGCCUUCUUCCCAGGCCUUGGAGAGCUGCCAGCCUUGGCCAGGAGUCUUUCCUUCCUCUAACCCAGAAUUGCAGCGUCUCCUCAGGCAAUGCUCGCUUCCCAGGUAGCCUCUGUUCUUCCCUCCCCUCCCCUCGCCUGCGCAGCGGUGAGGAAGAAGCCACCAGUGCUCUGCAGGUCUUCAGCUCUUGGCCAUGGGCUCCGCCUUCCUCCUGGCAGUACGCAUGGCAUGUACCCGGCUCUGCCUGCCGGGCCGCCAGAAGAGGGUGGUAGCCAUCGAUUUUGACAUGGGUUGGGAGGGGGUUCUCUGGCUCGGGAGCAUACUUGGGAAAGAUCCCCCAUCUCUCGUCUGCAGUUAUGAGCUCAACAGGCUCCUCCCUGUGUAGCCCUCAUUAGCGCCGCCUCUCCAGACUGUCCAGAAGUCGGGGCUCAGUCCUUGCCUUUCUCGCUUGCAAUGCUCGGCCAUGAGCACUCCGCCAUUGUUCGGGGCAGCCCUUCUAGAUGAGGAAAUGGGGAGGUCGUGGGAACACAGCUGCCCUCCCAAUCCACCCUUGAUGACGGCACCUUGGAUUCGUUUGUCACCCAGUGCUGGGCAAAGGCGGGCUCGAGAGAGCCCCUCAAGCUGGGUGCCCCAAGACUCGACGGUUGAGCCCCCGUGUGGCUGUGAUGGACCUUCCGCAGAUUUGCAGGCAUGCUGUACCCUCAGCGCAUCUCAGCAGCAUCUCAGGAGAAUUUGCUGAAUCAUAUGAGCUGGAAAUCGACUCCCAGGACUUUGUGUCUACCACGAAAGCGUGGACGAUUUUUAGGAGAAGGAAGAAGCCACCAUUUGUUGCCAUUGGAC
rnacentral:lncRNA from 1 species